AUGUCUAAGUCCAUGUGUUAAACACGAAACCGCGCAUAGCUCAUUACAACAGCUGUAAUAUACACGCAGUUAUUCUAUAUGGAUAACUAUGGAAAAUCUGGAGCUAAUACAUGCAAUUAUAUAAUUUGUAUUCUGUACAAAUUAUGCAGUUAUUAGAACAAACCAAUGGGUUUACCCAUAUUUUGUUGACUCUGGAUAAUGUAAAACCACUUAGCCUUUGGCGGUGGAAAUGCGUGUAUGCAUCUGCCCUAUCAACUAAAUAACCGUGUAUUGAACGGUUAUAGUUUUGCCGGGUAACGGAGAAUUAGGGUUCGACUCCGGAGAGAAUGCCUUAGAAACAGCUUUCACAUCCAAGGACGGCAGCAGGCGCGAAAAUUACCCACUCUUAGCUCGAGGAGGUAGUGACGUGAAAUGACAAGUUUAAUUCUUUACGGAAUUAAACAUUGGAAUGGUUUAAUUUUAAAACCAUCCAAGAUUAUCAAUGAGAGGGCAAGUCUGGUGCCAGCAGCCGCGGUAAUUCCAGCUCUCAUACUGAAUUGAACUGCUGUUGCGGUUAAAAAGUUCGUAGUUGCAAAUGUACAUUUAUAAUUGGUUUUUACUAACGUAAAAUACUAAUUAUAAUGUAAAAAUAAAUUUUUUGUAAAAAGAAAAUUUAUUGUUACUUUGAGUAAAUCAAAGUGAUUCGAACAGGCGUAAGCUUGUAUGGUUGUCCAAGGGAUAGCAUAACAAAACGUUGGUUUUGUUUGUUGGUUUAAAAACCUACGAAUGAUUAAAAGGGACAAACGGGGGCAAAAGUAUAGCUCGGCGAGAGGUGAAAUUCGUGGACCCCAGCUAGACUACCUACAGCGAAAGCAUUUGCCAAGAAUGUYUUCAUUAAUCAAGAACGAAAGUCAGAGGAUCGAAGGCGAUUAGAUACCGCCCUAGUUCUGACCGUAAACUAUACCAUCUAACGAGUCGGUGCCGGUCUUAACAGAUUGCCACUUUGACGAGUUUGCUCGGAAACGAAAGUCUUUCGGUUCCGGGGGAUGUAUGGUUGCAAAACUGAAACUUAAAGGGAUUGACGGAAAGUCACCACCAGAAAUGGAGCUUGCGGCUUAAUUUGACUCAACACGGGAAAACUUACUCAGUCUAGACACUAAGAGGAUUGACACUGUAAUACAGUCUCAAAAUAUGGUGCAAAGUGGUGCAUGGCCGUUCUUAGUUCGUGGAGUAAUCUGUCUGGUUAAUUCCGAUAACGAACGAGACUAGAACAGAGUUUGUUAUUUAUAAUUUUUUCCGAAAAAUUAUAAAAUCCAAAAUGGAUAUGCAAAAAAAAUUGCCUGAAAACUGGCAAUAACAGGUCUGUAAUGCCCUUAGUUGUCUGAGGCUGCACGCGUGCUACAAUGAAAAUUGCAGUGCGUGUUGUUGUCCUGAAAAGGAUGACUAAACGUGUCAAAUUAUUCCGCAUUCGGGAUCAUGAACUGUAAUUGUUCAUGUGAACGAGGAACUUCAAGUAAGUGUGUGUCAUCAGCGCACGCUGAUUACGUCCCUGUCUUUUGUACACACCGCCCGUCGCUGCCUAGAACUGAAUUGAUUCAAGAAGAUGAGGGAGAUAUUCUUAUAUUACUAUAAGUUAUGUUGAACUCAUUUGAUUGUAUCGGUUUGAACCAGGC
rnacentral:rRNA from 1 species